GAUGGUUUAGUUUUCACUUACAAUGAAAAUAACCCGAUGAGGGCGUUCUUUUAAAGUUGUUAGACAUAA
rnacentral:tRNA from 1 species